AGGAUUGUAGUUCAAUUGGUCAAAGCACCGCCCUGUCAAGGCAGAGCUGCGCGUUUGAGCCUUGUCAGUCCCG
rfam:Cucumis melo, WGS project CAJI01000000 data, contig: 04733